GCGGGUGUCGCCAAGUGGUAAGGCACUUGCUUCCCAAGCAAGCAUUCGUGGGUUCGAAUCCCAUCACCCGCU
rnacentral:tRNA from 1 species